UAGCCCAUGUGAGCUAUAUCCCAUGUGAGCAUCUGCCUUGCGUCAAGCUGAGGUGGUAAUCAGGCUUGUGCUACCUCUUGUCAGGGCCAGGUCUGUAAUUUUCUGCACCCUGCCUUUCACCAGCCCAUCCCUUAGCCCUUUGCAGACUGCCUGGCGGGUGGCGCAAACUCAGAGAGGCUUCAUCUCACACAGCGCUCAGUCUUUGCUUCAAAUUUGAAAGCUUUACCCUUCUUUAUUACAGGGGAAAAAAAUUGAAAGUGACCCAAACGUCAGGUACAGAGGGCAAAUAUUAAAAGUAAGCUCAUUUUUGCCUUUGAAAUUCCACACUUCUUAGAAGCUGUUCGUGAGUGAUGCCCUAGAGCUGAGGAGGGUGGCUCCAGAAAAAGAUCCCCUCAAGUGUGCAAUCAGCCCUUCACAGGAGUCUGCUGGGGAUGCUGAAACAGAAAUCAGCGUUUCGAGUUUUUUUUUCCCAUGCGGUAAAGAAGAACAUGUGGGAAGGUCCUGCCUAUGUCCUUACACAAAACCAGGAUAUCCAGUAAUUAGUGAGAUACCUCCAGGGCAAGCUCAAAUUUUGCAACACUUCCCAAGGCAGGGAAAAUGCCCUGGGCUAGGGCAGUCUUGGGAAGAGAAUGAGUCAGGAGCCUUUUUUUUUUUUUUUUUUUUUUUUUUUUUUUUUUUUUUUCCCUUCUCUGUAGUCCUGAUCAAGUAAAAACUUUGUAGGGAUGAGAAGUUUGCAGAGACCCGACCCGACUCUUCCAGACCUCCCUGUACCUGGGUGAGGCUCCUCCGCCUCCUGAGCCAGACGUCUGCCUUUUCAGACGUUUUCUCCUUAACAGGCUCAACUCUCUGCGGUCCUGAGGCUCUUCUGGGAGCGGGGAAGCCGAGCUGACCCCAGGUGCAGCAUCCCCCAAGGAAGAAAGCGCGGGAGGUGCCACUCAGCCCUCGCAGAGUGGAAGGGGUACGCAUUUACCCAGGCUCAUAACCAAAGGCCAACAUGACAUCAGAAGCCCUGUGGUGUUUUGCCUUUGGGCAACAGCCGGUAAAACUGGUUUCAUCUGGCAGAUGAGCAUGUGAGCUGAGGUCCCUUUGGAGCUGGGAGAUGCUGGAAGCAUGGAGAAGCUUGGGAAAUCUGACAGCAGACAAACCCAGACACUUGGGUUUAGCCUCUCACAUUUUGAAUGUUCUCCCUCUUCUCCUAUGGAAAUCACUGAUGAAAUUUCCCACUGAAAUGAAGCUCGGUCCCAGUCUGUUAAUGCUGACAUAUUAAGAGGGAAAAGAAAAUGUAGAACAUAACACAGAAAAAGGAGCCUCCAACCUGCUAAACAAGGCUAAAACACAAAUUCAGUGGUUAUGUUAAACAGUCCAAAUGAAAAUUAUCCAAAUGUACAGGAUUAUAGGAGAAGAAAGAAAACAGACAACUGGAAAGAGAUGAUGAAAAAUGGGCUAAGGGAGGAGGAAGAUAUAAAAGGUGGGAAAUGAAGUGGAAAAUCCACUUGGGGAUGAGAGAGAGGCUGAAGAAGAUGUAGAAGGAGGACACACCAAAGAAGAUGUAGAAGAUAUAGAAGAAGAUGUAGGAAGAUUGGUGUGAAACACAGGUAUUUCUGGUAGUGUCUGGCAGGCACCAGCAUGGGGGCUUUGACAUCUGGGUCUGAGCCUCACAGAUGACAGGAAGAAAUGCCCAGAGGAGUAUGGACACCUCCAGAGAGGCUGGAAAAUAUCUGAGCCCUUUGUGGUCUCUAUGGAAAAAGACAUAGGGGAAGAUGGAGCAGGAAAGGAGUGGAGGGGAGUCUCUUGUCUGGCCCACCUUGCUGGAUGUGCCCCAGAGACCAAGCCUGGACAGGUGCUGCAGGAGCUCCUGCUUUUUCCUGAGGGGCUUCAGGCUUUCCUGCAGGACUGAGAAGCCCAGGGAAGGGAUGUGGUCCAAGCAGUGAGCUAGGCAAACCCAGGUGGCUCCUCCAGCACAUCCCCCUGCCCAGACGCACACACACAUAGGCCCCACACAUCCCUCUUUACACCACCCUGCUGCUCCCAGCCAUGAUCCAACACUGUGGGGCCACCCAAGACCUGAGCAGGAAGCCGGAGGGCUGCAACCUGUGCUGCUCUUCACCCCUACAUGGCACACAGGUAUUUGGGAGCCAGAGGACUUAGGAGGCUUCUGAGCUUGUCCAGGAGGGUGGCUCUACCCACAGACUCAGCCCCACAGUGACAGCACGUGAUGCUCCCUGCCUACCAGGUUUUAAACCAGGUCCACAAAGACAAAGCUGGGAGCACUGUUUUGACCUCUCCUACUAUCCCUGUCCUCUCUCCUGCACUGAGAAUGUUUUGGCCUGGGUCUUAGCAGCAGAAAGACACGUCCCCCAUGGCUUCUCCCUCUGGUGAAAUGCUAAUCAGCACACCCCUUCAGCAAGAAGACAAAUGCCUCAGGUUCAGAAAACACAUUUUGGACUUUUAAGAGGAGUGAAAUGAGGCAGCUGCCCAUUGUGGGCAAUUUAGUUUAAUGUGAUAUUGAAUUCAGCUGUUUAAUACACCCAGAUGAUCCAGCAGUGAGUGCAUAAAAAACCUCCAACUUCAAUAAAUAACGAAGAUGUGAAGAAUUCUUUUCUGUUUGUUUCUUUUUUUAAUGAAAAUGGCAAACCCACUAAUUUGCUACUGUACAUCUGCAUCAGUUAUUUAACAUGACAUCUUGCUAUAGUAAUAAUCCAUCAACAUCCAGUAUUACAUAUGGAAUCAUAAAAAGGUUUAUGCUUGUGUUGGUGCUUUUGCUGUCU